GCUCAAGCAGGAAUCCUCCCAAAAAAGUUUCAUCACCAUCACCCUUUGCUUCUCUCUUAGGGAAGAUAGCUCAUAUCCAUCCCAGCUUUCCCACAUCUCCCAGCUUUACAUGGUUGAAGUCUCCAGUGAUUGAGCAUCGAUGGAGGGCAAAAAAGAAGGAAAGCUCUAAAAUCAGAUGACCCAGAGAACUGAACUUUGGAGAGCCCAACUUCUGCAAGAUACAGAAAGUUUCCAUCCGUGCCUUCAUGACCAAGCCACUUUGAAACACAUCAAAUACAAGUAAGUGUAAUUGAGCAGCUGGC
rnacentral:lncRNA from 1 species